GACGAACGCUGGCGGCGUGCCUAAUACAUGCAAGUCGAACGCAGUGGGGACGGGUGCGUAACACGUGGGUAACCUCCCAUCAGAGGGGAUAACACUUGGAAACUGGUGCUAAACCGAUACUGGAGGAUGGACCCGCGGUGCAUUAGCUAGUUGGUGAGGGAACGGCUUACCAAGGCCACGAUGCAUAGCCGGCCUGAGAGGGGGAUCGGCCACACGGGGACUGAGACACGGCCCAGACUCCUACGGGAGGCAGCAGUAGGGAAUCUUCGGCAAUGGACGAAAGUCUGAUCGAGCAACGCCGCGUGAGUGAAGAAGGUUUUCGGAUCGUAAAACACUUUUGGUAGAGAAGCGGUACCUAACCAGAAAGCAACGGCUAACUACGUGCCAGCAGCCGCGGUAAUUC
rnacentral:rRNA from 1 species